rnacentral:rRNA from 1 species
UACGUAGGGCGCAAGCGUUAUCCGGAAUUAUUGGGCGUAAAGCGUGCGCAGGCGGUUCGUUAUGUCCGUUGUGAAAGCCCCGGGCUCAACCUGGGAAUGGCAAUGGAAACUGGCGAGCUAGAGUGUGGCAGAGGGGGGUGGAAUUCCGCGUGUAGCAGUGAAAUGCGUAGAGAUGCGGAGGAACACCGAUGGCGAAGGCAGCCCCCUGGGCUAGCACUGACGCUCAGGCACGAAAGCGUGGGGAGCAAACAGG